GCUACGGGUGGCAGCAGUGGGGAAUAUUGCACAAUGGGCGAAAGCCUGAUGCAGCAACGCCGCGUGAAGGAAGACGGUUUUCGGAUUGUAAACUUCUAUCAAUAGGGAAGAAAGAAAUGACGGUACCUAAAUAAGAAGCCCCGGCUAACUACGUGCCCGUAGCCGCGGUAAUAAGUAGGGGGCAAGCGUUAUCCGGAAUUAGUGGGGGUAAAGGGAGAGUAGGCGGCAAGGUAAGCGAUAUGUGAAAGCCUUAAGCUUAACUUAAGGAUUGCAUAACGAACUAUCUAGCUAGAGUACAGGAGAGGAAAGCGGAAUUCCUAGUGUAGCGGUGAAAUGCGUAGAUAUUAGGAAGAACACCAGUGGCGAAGGCGGCUUUCUGGACUGAAACUGACGCUGAGGCUCGAAAGCGUGGGGAGCGAACAGGAUUAGAUACCCCAGUAGUC
rnacentral:rRNA from 1 species